rnacentral:rRNA from 1 species
GAUGAACGCUGGCGGCGUGCCUAAUACAUGCAAGUCGUGCGGCAGCGAGCCCUUCGGGGUGUCGGCGAGCGGCGGACGGCUGAGUAACACGUAGGAACAUACCCCAAAGUGAGGGAUAACUGCUCGAAAGAGUAGCUAAUACCGCAUGUGGUCUAAGGAUUAAAGCUUCGGCGCUUUGGGAAUGGCCUGCGUUCGAUUAGCUAGAUGGUGAGGUAAAGGCUCACCAUGGCGACGAUCGAUAGCUGGUCUGAGAGGAUGAUCAGCCAGACUGGGACUGAGACACGGCCCAGACUCCUACGGAGGCAGCAGUAGGGAAUGUUCCACAAUGGGCGAAAGCCUGAUGGAGCAACGCCGCGUGCAGGAUGAAUGCCUUAGGGUUGUAAACUGCUUUUACAUGUGACGAUUAUGACGGUAGCAUAUGAAUAAGGAUCGGCUAACUCCGUGCCAGCCGCCGCCGUAA